CAGCAGCCACGGUAAUACGGAGGGGGCUAGCGUUAUUCGGAAUUACUGGGCGUAAAGCGCACGUAGGCGGAUCAGAAAGUCAGAGGUGAAAUCCCAGGGCUCAACCUUGGAACUGCCUUUGAAACUCCUGAUCUUGAGGUCGAGAGAGGUGAGUGGAAUUCCGAGUGUAGAGGUGAAAUUCGUAGAUAUUCGGAGGAACACCAGUGGCGAAGGCGGCUCACUGGCUCGAUACUGACGCUGAGGUGCGAAAGCGUGGGGAGCAAACAGGAUUAGAUACCCGAGUAGUCCCUGUCUCUUAUAA
rnacentral:rRNA from 1 species